CAAGUUUAUCCCCAACUUAUUUGCCUUUUAUUCUUCAUUUUAGUUAAUUACAUUUUCACCAUUUAUCUUCAAGGUUAUGCAUGCACCUUGAGAUGGUCACAAAAGGUCCGUGAUAUAGGGGUUCAUAAUUAGGUUGUAUGUUAUAUUCAGAGUCCCAGGGGAACUAAUAGAUUCCAGAAAUACUGAUUAAGCAAGAUGAAUUCUUAUACAGUUUCAACUACAACAGUUUUAAAGACAAGUACAAGCUUCUUUGCCACAAAAUUCACAAAAAAAGUAAUCGAUUGAAGAAUAUCUCUUUUAUGCAAAAUAUACAUUUUAGGAUAUAAUUCAAUUCAUAUUCUACUAUACACUGACAUUGUUCUUGAUAAUUUAAUAAAAAAAUACUCUCAUUGCCAGCCAACAAAGGAGAACCAAAGGAAAUUAAGACAGACCUAUAGUAUACCAAUAUCACUGCUCGUAUGAUCACAGCACAAUCUACUGCAGGUCCACAGAGGGUAAUUCACAGAGGGGCGGGCCUUACUUGAAGCUCCAGAGACGCUGAUCAUGACUCUGGC
rnacentral:lncRNA from 1 species